GACGAACGCUGGCGGCGUGCUUAACACAUGCAAGUCGAACGGAAAGGCCCUGCUUUUGUGGGGUGCUCGAGUGGCGAACGGGUGAGUAACACGUGAGUAACCUGCCCUUGACUUUGGGAUAACUUCAGGAAACUGGGGCUAAUACCGGAUAGGAGCUCCUGCUGCAUGGUGGGGGUUGGAAAGUUUCGGCGGUUGGGGAUGGACUCGCGGCUUAUCAGCUUGUUGGUGGGGUAGUGGCUUACCAAGGCUUUGACGGGUAGCCGGCCUGAGAGGGUGACCGGCCACAUUGGGACUGAGAUACGGCCCAGACUCCUACGGGAGGCAGCAGUGGGGAAUAUUGCACAAUGGGCGGAAGCCUGAUGCAGCAACGCCGCGUGCGGGAUGACGGCCUUCGGGUUGUAAACCGCUUUCGCCGGUGACGAAGCGUGAGUGGCGGUAAUGGGUAAAGAAGCACCGGCUAACUACGUG
rnacentral:rRNA from 1 species